rnacentral:lncRNA from 1 species
UCCACAGAGCAGCACAGGGCAGGGCCCUGGGACCCUGAAGCCACCUCAGGUGAAGGACCUGGGCCUCAGCGGGCAGUUCGCACAGGGAGCCCCAGGUCACCGCCAAGCCCGCCCUGGGUGUCCAUCAGCAACCGGGGGCAUGCAGAGCUCUGGGCAUCGUGACACCCACACCCACGCAUACCACGUGGCUACCUGUACCUUAGGGAACGCGGGUUGGAGGGCCAAUCGAUUCCUUGGCAGCUAUGGGAUCCAUCCUGAGCGUGGCAGAGGCCCAGCCUGACAUGUCGACUUCGCAUCCCAACACUGGAGGCAGAGCAGGAGGACCAGGAGGUCAAGGUCAGCCUCUACAUAGUUUCUGGAAAAUGUGAGACCCUGCCUCAAACAAACAAAAAGAGGAAAAGAGAAAAAGACCCCCGAUGUUCAUCUGGUAUGUGGUCUAGGGAAGCCAUCUUGCCAAGCCUGCUGUCGCCCUGGCUCCACCCACACACUGCAAGGAAAACAGAACAAAAGUUUACUUUGUAUCAUUAAAUAUUGGGGCCAGUGAGAGCGCUCAGAAGGUAGAGGUGCUUUCUUCCAAGCCUGACAGCCUGGGUGGCUCCCUGAGACCCACGUGGUGAACAGAGAGACCCAGCUGAGAGACCCAGCUCUAACUAAUUGUCCUCUGAUUUCCACACACACAGAAACUGAUAAAGAAAAUGUCACUUAAAUUUUGUUUUAAUUUUUAGAUUUAUUUGUAUUUUCUGUGUAUGAAUGCUUUGCCUGCAUACCUGAUGCCCUCAGACAUCCAAAGAGGGCAUCGGGUCCCCUGGAGCUGGAGUCACAAACAAUUGAGAGCC